AUUGAACGCUGGCGGCAGGCCUAACACAUGCAAGUCGAACGGUAACAGGAAACAGCUUGCUGUUUCGCUGACGAGUGGCGGACGGGUGUGUAAUGUCUGGGAAACUGCCUGAUGGAGGGGGAUAACUACUGGAAACGGUAGCUAUAACCGCUUAACGUCUCAAGACCAAAGAGGGGGACCUAAGGGCCCCUUGCCAUCGGACGUGCCCAGAUGGGAUUUGCUAGUAGGUGGGGUAACGGCUCACCUAGGCGACGAUCCCUAUCUGGUCUGAGAGGAUGACGAGCCACACUGGAACUGAGACACGGUCCAGACUCCUACGGGAGGCAGCAGUGGGGAAUAUUGGACAAUGGGCGCAAGCCUGAUGCAGCCAUGCCGCGUGUAUGAAGAAGGCCUUCGGGUUGUAAAGUACUUUCAGCGGGGAGGAAGGGAGUAAAGUUAAUACCUUUGCUCAUUGACGUUACCCGCAGAAGAAGCACCGGCUAACUCCGUG
rnacentral:rRNA from 1 species